UACGGCCAUAUCAUAUUGAAACAUCGCUUCUUGUACAAUCACUGAAGUUAAGCAACGUCGGGCUGGGUCAGUAUCUAGAUGGGUGACCGCUUGGGAAUACUGUGGGCUGUAA